rnacentral:rRNA from 1 species
UACGGAGGGUGCAAGCGUUAUCCGGAAUCAUUGGGUUUAAAGGGUCCGUAGGCGGAUAAUUAAGUCAGGGGUGAAAUCCCACAGCUCAACUGUGGCAUUGCCUUUGAUACUGGUUAUCUUGAGUUAUAGGGAAGUAGAUAGAAUAUGUAGUGUAGCGGUGAAAUGCAUAGAUAUUACAUAGAAUACCGAUUGCGAAGGCAGUCUACUACCUAUUAACUGACGCUAAGGGACGAAAGCGUGGGGAGCGAACAGG